rnacentral:rRNA from 1 species
AAUAGAUACCCUGGUAGUCCACGCCGUAAACGAUGAGUGCUAAGUGUUAGGGGGUUUCCGCCCCUUAGUGCUGCAGCUAACGCAUUAAGCACUCCGCCUGGGGAGUACGGUCGCAAGACUGAAACUCAAAGGAAUUGACGGGGGCCCGCACAAGCGGUGGAGCAUGUGGUUUAAUUCGAAGCAACGCGAAGAACCUUACCAGGUCUUGACAUCCCACUGACCGCUAUGGAGACAUAGUUUUCCCUUCGGGGACAGUGGUGACAGGUGGUGCAUGGUUGUCGUCAGCUCGUGUCGUGAGAUGUUGGGUUAAGUCCCGCAACGAGCGCAACCCUUGAUCUUAGUUGCCAUCAUUUAGUUGGGCACUCUAAGGUGACUGCCGGUGACAAACCGGAGGAAGGUGGGGAUGACGUCAAAUCAUCAUGCCCCUUAUGACCUGGGCUACACACGUGCUACAAUGGACGGUACAAACGGUUGCCAACCCGCGAGGGGGAGCUAAUCCGAUAAAACCGUUCUCAGUUCGGAUUGUAGGCUGCAACUCGCCUA